AUACGGAGGGUGCAAGCGUUAAUCGGAAUUACUGGGCGUAAAGCGUACGUAGGCGGUUCGUUAAGUUAGAUGUGAAAGCCCCGGGCUUAACCUGGGAACUGCAUUUAAAACUGGCGAACUAGAGUUGAGUAGAGGGGAGUGGAAUUUCAGGUGUAGCGGUGAAAUGCGUAGAGAUCUGAAGGAACACCAGUGGCGAAGGCGGCUCCCUGGACUCAAACUGACGCUGAGGUACGAAAGCGUGGGUAGCAAACAGGAUUAGAAACCCUAGUAGUCC
rnacentral:rRNA from 1 species